CACCUCUUAGGGUCGCUCCUGGAGAGUUUCCAGUAUUCUACCAGUCUCGACUAUGGGAUGCAGAGUCAAGCAGAGGCCUAUCCAUUCCAUUCCUAGAUUGGGCAGUGACUAGCGAGUGGAAGGUAAUCUGCUACAAGU